GGGAGGGCGCCUAGGGGGGCCGGCUCGCCCGGCUCCCGGAUCUGAUGGGGGUCCUGAGGGGUGUCCGGCCCCCGCCCUCCGCAGGCAUCUCCAGGUUUGCGCCGCUGGAAGUUUUCUCCAGCUGUGCCGGUACCUCGCUUCCCAAAUUAAAUCUGCAACAGUCCUCGGACAGCUACGGUCUUGAAAAACUUUAAGUGAUUUUGGGAUAAAGCCUCCCGUGGUUGGGGCUUUCCAGUCGCCUCUGAGUGCUGCCUAAGUUCUAUUCCCAGGUCUGAGCAGCACUCCUCUCUUCACAUCCACACUGGGUUUGGCAGCAGUGUCUGUGUGGCUGGGCCUACCCACACCAUGACCCCAGCACCAAGCCAGCUGCCAGGCUGGUGGGGCCUCUGGGAUCACAUAGAUAGUGCUGGAAGAGAAGGUGGGAACAGAUAAAGAGAGGAAGGAGUGAACGUGAGGGCAGAGAAAGGAGGAGACGCCCUGCAAUGCUUGCUGCAGCCCACAGAUCUUCCAUGCCAAAGCAGGGGGACAUACCCAGAGGAACUGUGGCCUGCGGAGAACCCACAGCAGAGUACAUCUUCCUGGAGGACAGUGGCCCUUGGAGAAGCCAUUCCAGAUCAGAGAGACUGUGUAAGAAGGAGCUGCAAGGAGAAACCGUGACUGACUGCACUGCCCUCCCUUCCCACUUUGCUAGCAAGGGCGUGGGCGUGCAUUGCUUUGUUUCCAAUGAAGCGAAGCCUGACUAAGGGAAGGAAGAAACAUUCUUACCAAUAUGUAUCUUCUUGUUUCUCACUAUCUUCAUUAGCAAUUACAUUUUUUGCAUUACA